GACAAACGCUGGCGGCGUGCAUAAAACAUGCAAGUCGGACGAACAAAAUCCCGCAAGGGAUGAGUUAGUGGCGAACGGCUGAGUAGCACGUAGGUGACCUGCCCCGAAGUGGGGGACAACUCGCCGAAAGGCGAGCUAAUACCGCAUGUGACCACCGGUUCGUUCCGGUGCUCAAAGCAGUGAUGCGCUUCGGGAGGGGCCUGCGGCGGAUUAGCUAGUUGGUGGGGUAAUGGCCUACCAAGGCUUCGAUCCGUAGCUGGUCUGAGAGGAUGACCAGCCAGACUGGGACUGAGACACGGCCCAGACUCCUACGGGAGGCAGCAGUUAGGAAUUUUUGUGCAAUGGGGGAAACCCUGACACAGCUACGCGCGUGCGGGAUGAAGGCCUUCGGGUCGUAAACCGCUUUUUC
rnacentral:rRNA from 1 species